UACCAGCACCCCGAGUGGUCGGGACGAUUAUUGGGCCUAAAGCAUCCGUAGCCGGUUCUGCAAGUCUUCCGUUAAAUCCAUCUGCUUAACAGAUGGGCUGCAGAGGAUACUAUAGAGCUAGGAGGCGGGAGAGGCAAGCGGUACUUAGUGGGUAGGGGUAAAAUCCGUUGAUCCACUGAAGACCACCAGUGGCGAAGGCGGCUUGCCAGAACGCACUCGACGGUGAGGGAUGAAAGCUGGGGGAGCAAAC
rnacentral:rRNA from 1 species